GGUCGGUUAAGACUCGGAUCGAAGCUAAAAUAAUAACCACUUACAAAAACGAUCGGAAAGUUCGCCGGAGGUUCGGCCGGAUUUUGGCUUAGUGACGGAACUUGGGCAGCCCUACGGGAGGCCUAAAGUAUUAGUGGUUGAGCUAGUUGGGUUGGGAGAGAGCUUGGUUGGUUGAACUAAGCUUAUAUAACUAAAACCUUGUAUAUAUGAAUAUAUAUGUAUAAGAAAGGAGGUUUUAGAGAAGAAGUAUUUGUAGAGAGUGUUUGUAGAGAUGAAAGAGAGAAUACUUCUAAAAUUCCCAGCAACUAAUUAGCUC
rnacentral:lncRNA from 1 species